rnacentral:rRNA from 1 species
GAUGAACGCUGGCGGCGUGCCUAAUACAUGCAAGUCGAGCGAACGGACGAGAAGCUUGCUUCUCUGAUGUUAGCGGCGGACGGGUGAGUAACACGUGGAUAACCUACCUAUAAGACUGGGAUAACUUCGGGAAACCGGAGCUAAUACCGGAUAAUAUUUUGAACCGCAUGGUUCAAAAGUGAAAGACGGUCUUGCUGUCACUUAUAGAUGGAUCCGCGCUGCAUUAGCUAGUUGGUAAGGUAACGGCUUACCAAGGCAACGAUGCAUAGCCGACCUGAGAGGGUGAUCGGCCACGCUGGAACUGAGACACGGUCCAGACUCCUACGGGAGGCAGCAGUAGGGAAUCUUCCGCAAUGGGCGAAGGCCUGACGGAGCAACGCCGCGUGAGUGAUGAAGGUCUUCGGAUCGUAAAACUCUGUUAUUAGGGAAGAACAUAUGUGUAAGUAACUGUGCACAUCUUGACGGUACCUAAUCAGAAAGCCACGGCUAACUACGUG